rnacentral:misc_RNA from 1 species
GAUGAAGAACGUAGCGAAAUGCGAUAAGUAAUGCGAAUUGCAGAAUUUCCGUGAGUCAUCGAAUCUUUGAACGCACAUUGCGCCCACUGGUAUUCCGGUGGGCAUGCCUGUUCGAGCGUCAUUAUCCUCCCUCAAACCCCGGGUUUGGUGUUGGACCCAAGUUGUGUGAACAACUGGUCUCAAAGACAAUGACGGCGUCCGUGGGACCCUCGGUCCAACGAGCUUUUAGGAGCACGCAUCGAGUUGCAAGGACCUUCCGGGCCGGUCUCCUUUACCAUUUUACAAGGUUGACCUCGGAUCAGGUAGGAAUACCCGCUGAACUUAAGCAUAUCAAUAAGCGGAGGA